UACAGAGGUGGCAAGCGUUGUUCGGAAUUACUGGGCGUAAAGGGCGCGUAGGCGGCCUUCUAAGUCGGACGUGAAAGCCCCAGGCUUAACCUGGGAACUGCGUCCGAUACUGGGAGGCUUGGAUUCGGGAGAGGGAUGUGGAAUUCCAGGUGUAGCGGUGAAAUGCGUAGAUAUCUGGAGGAACACCGGUGGCGAAGGCGGCAUCCUGGACCGAGAUCGACGCUGAGGCGCGAAAGCGUGGGGAGCGAACAGG
rnacentral:rRNA from 1 species